UUGAAAUCUGCGUUAGGGAUUGCAGCGGCAUCCUUUUUUAGAGGGCACAGCCCCUAAAAAAGAUAUAGCGGAAAGCACGACCCGUU
rfam:Arenibacter nanhaiticus strain CGMCC 1.8863 genome assembly, contig: Ga0066783_101